GUUCAGUGGUAGAAUUCUCGCCUGCCACGCGGGAGGCCCGGGUUCGAUUCCCGGCCAAUGCAAUCUAGAGCUUUUAUCUAGAUUAGAAUCAAGUUUUAUGGUAAGCAAGCUGAAGAUUACUUCAGUUGUCAUGCGUAUUGAUCACUUUGACAUAUAUGACAAUAGACAUAUGGAAAUGCACAGAGUAGAUCAAAUUCUUUUUUUUUUUUUUAAGUAAGCAUAGAAUGCACAGGAAUCUUUCAGCUGAGAUUUGAUUCUUGGCCGAAGGAAUGUAAAUCCUUUUUUUCACCAAUAUAGUUUUAAUUAGAAGCGGUCUGAUUCUCUGAUUUAAUUGUGUAAUAAUCAAUCUAAUUUGACAGUGAAUCUCCGUCUGUGGUUCAAUAUGUUAUGGAAACACUUGCCCAUGCUUGUAUCGCUACUCCUCUGGAUUACUGUAAUUGUAAAUAAGAGAAAUACUAACAGAGAAGUUUGUAUUGUGGAUGAAGGCUGAAACAGCACCGUUCGUCGAGGUCACAUGACCAUUUUUUUCAGACAGUUCUGCAUUGGUGGUUCAGUGGUAGAAUUCUCGCCUGCCACGCGGGAGGCCCGGGUUCGAUUCCCGGCCAAUGCAAUCUAGAUCUUUUAUCUAGAUUAUUAUCGAGUUUUAUGGUAAGCAAGCUGAAGAUUAGUGCAGUUGUCGUGUACUGAUCACUUUGACAUAUGACAAUAGACAUAUGGAAAUGCACAGAGUAGAUCAAAUUCUUUUUUUUUUUUUUUUAAGUAAGCAUAGAAUGCACAGGAAUCUUUCAGCUGAGAUUUGAUCCCUGGCCGAAGGAAUGUAAAUCCUUUUUUUCACCAAUAUAGUUUUAAUUAGAAGCGGUCUGAUUCUCUGAUUUAAUUGUGUAAUAAUCAGUCUAAUUUGACAGUGAAUCCCUAGCUCCGUCUGUGGUUCAAUAUGUUAUGGAAACACUUGCCCAUGCUUGUAUCGCUACUCCUCUGGAUUACUGUAAUUGUAAAUAAGAGAAAUACCAACAGAGAAGUUUGUAUUGUGGAUGAAGGCUGGAACAGCACCGUUCGUCGAUGUCACAUGACCAUUUUUUUCAGACAGUUCUGCAUUGGUGGUUCAGUGGUAGAAUUCUCGCCUGCCACGCGGGAGGCCCGGGUUCGAUUCCCGGCCAAUGCAAUCUAGAUCUUUUAUCUAGAUUAUUAUCUAGUUUUAUGGUAAGCAAGCUGAAGAUUAGUGCAGUUGUCGUGUACUGAUCACUUUGACAUAUAUGACAAUAGACAUAUGGAAAUGCACAGAGUAGAUCAAAUUCUUUUUUUUUUUUUUUUUUAAGUAAGCAUAGAAUGCACAGGAAUCUUUCAGCUGAGAUUUGAUUCUUGGCCGAAGGAAUGUAAAUCCUUUUUUUCACCAAUAUAGUUUUAAUUAGAAGCGGUCUGAUUCUCUGAUUUAAUUGUGUAAUAAUCAAUCUAAUUUGACAGUGAAUCUCCGUCUGUGGUUCAAUAUGUUAUGGAAACACUUGCCCAUGCUUGUAUCGCUACUCCUCUGGAUUACUGUUGGAGCCAGAAUGGGUUUUGUUUAUUGUUAUUAUUUAUAGUUAUGAAAUAUUAGGAUAAGUGUUUUGCAUUUAUCAUAAUUUAAUUAAAUAAUAUUUUGUUGGUAUUUGGAUUUGCUUUGUGUACUGUUGAACAACCUGGAGGUGCGAAAUUGCGUUGGCCACGGCCCACUUCGUCAGGUGACUGCAGCACCUGACCUCGUGAAGGCAAUUAAAGCAGUCUGGACGCGUCACUCCAGAUACAAGUUGGCAGGCAUGCAAGCCAAAAGGUUUUUU
ensembl:lncRNA